rnacentral:rRNA from 1 species
GAUGAACGCUAGCUACAGGCUUAACACAUGCAAGUCGAGGGGCAGCAUGAACUUAGCUUGCUAAGUUUGAUGGCGACCGGCGCACGGGUGAGUAACACGUAUCCAACCUGCCGAUGACUCGGGGAUAGCCUUUCGAAAGAAAGAUUAAUACCCGAUGGCAUAGUUCUUCCGCAUGGUAGAACUAUUAAAGAAUUUCGGUCAUCGAUGGGGAUGCGUUCCAUUAGGUUGUUGGCGGGGUAACGGCCCACCAAGCCUUCGAUGGAUAGGGGUUCUGAGAGGAAGGUCCCCCCACAUUGGAACUGAGACACGGUCCAAACUCCUACGGGAGGCAGCAGUGAGGAAUAUUGGUCAAUGGACGAGAGUCUGAACCAGCCAAGUAGCGUGCAGGAUGACGGCCCUAUGGGUUGUAAACUGCUUUAUAAGGGAAUAAAGUGAGUCUCGUGAGACUUUUUGCAUGUACCUUAUGAAUAAGGACCGGCUAAUUCCGUGCCAGCAGCCG